UCACUCUACCUCGACCGCUUCUAUGCUCUUCGCUCGGUGGGACUCCCUCACCUGCUGCCGCCACCGCUCCACUCGAUUCCUGCCGCAUUGGUCGAGGCCUUCGCCGCCUCUCCCUCUCGAAGGUAUGGUCGUUGUCGUUGUCGAUAUCAUCGACCACUUGGUCGUUCUGUGCAAUGGCGUCCUGAAUGUGCCGCGCCACGCCUUGUCGUUCGGGAUUAGGUCUUCGCGUGCUGUUUCGAGUCCGCUCGUUGCGGGAGCGCUUGCGUCCUUGAUGUUUUUCUUUUGUAUUUGAGGGAAAUGGCGGUGGUGGGUGGUGUUUGAUUUUUGCUUUGUGGGUGGCUGAAUGCUUCUGAUUCGUUUGCCUUUUUUUGCCGUGGGGGUGCUUUCGAGAUGAUGCUGCUGCUCCGAGAAACAGUGAGGGAACUCUAGGUUGCUAAUGUGACUUGUCUUAGUUAAACUGGGAUGGAUUCUGUUUUAGCUGAGAAUUGGAGGAAAGGGGAAGAGACUGAUAUUUCUGGUUCUUCGUUCCCUUCUGGCUUCUGGCUGUGUCUUGUUACGGUAGGUGAAUUGGUAUUGAGACAACGCCAGUGCAGUGCCGAUACGGCUUUGCUGGAUGGAGAGGAUGAAGAGAGUAACUGGAAAACGGUGAAGUUGUGGAUCAUUCACCGUAAUUGUAAAAUUCCUUUUCUUUCAUUUAAGUUAGCCUCUGGAUGUUCCUUGUCAUUUAUUACAGUCAUCCUACAUAGGAAGGAGGCAGGAUUAUGGAGGCAGGAUUAUAGCAUAAUCCUACUCUUAAUAAUGGACAAUGUUGGGUCAAGCCAGGCACGUAGGCUGUUUUGUAGAAUUGUGCUAGGAAAGGUUACCUUUUGUUGCUAUAGCUGUUGAAAUUUUACUUGUAUUUGGAUAAGUUGCCUUCAUGUCUUGGAUGCUUAAAGUCAUUGGUUUGACCCAUUUAGAAAGAAAUAUUGUAAAUGUGCUCACUGUUCAUUACACCAUUGUUAUCUAAUUUCUCCUCUUCUGCAACUCUUCUGCAACUCUUUAGCUAUAGAGUUUGAGGAUUUCUGAAAUACUUAGCAACUUAAGUAUCUUGUCAUCAAGUACUUAUAUCACGUGCAAUUUUGAUCUGAUGUGCCAGUUAAAGACUGUCAAUUAAACACAUAAUCAAUGUUCUAUAGAUUGUGAAUAAAGUAUUUUCUGAAGUUUUUCGUUUGCAGAAGUUGGGUAAGCAUGGGAUUUAAAAAUUUACUUUGCUGUCUUAGGGUAGAAGUUGGACCCUUAGGAUUUACUUGUGAAUAUCGAGGUUAGAAUGAAACACUCUUCUGGUCUUUAGCAUGUACGCCAAGCAAGAAAGCAACAGAUUUAUUAAAUUAUUUAUUUAUUAUUAUUACUAUUAUUAUUUUAAAUUUUUAACAAAAGCAAGGUGCUCUGUAACAUUCUAGUAGUCGAACUAUUGAUCUGCAAUUCAACCCCCUGAUUCGCUUAAAGUCUUGCUAAAUGUGGAGUGUUUCUAGCCUACAUUCUUUAGGAACCAAAAAUGCAUGUUUGAAAUUAAUUUCUGCACAUUUUACCUUAUAGAUGCAAAAUGAUGACUUAAAACAGGCAAAUAGAAACAUUAUGGAUAUUUGAUUGAACAGAUAAUAAUAUCUCGGUACUUAAUGUGCUUUCCCAAGGCAGCUGAAGCUCAAUAUAUUUCAUUGCUUGUUUGUUACUUUUCCAGGACAAACUAGAAGAUUGGCUACAAAAGGUAAAAAAGCUUCUUCAAGACGAGUUGAAGAACAAAAGCUAAAAACUUUGAUUUCACUAGCUGUAUGUUAUAGUGUUAUAGUAUUCUCUCUUUCUCUCUCUCUCUCUCUCCUCUCUCUCUCUCACACACACAAUUUUGUGUUUUUUUUAAGGCCCUUGACUAUUGUUGGAAUGAACCAAUUUUCCUAGGGAAUAUUCUAUUCCUGCGCUAUUAAUUGUGCUAAUUGUUGAAAAAGUGAC
rnacentral:lncRNA from 1 species